CCUACGGGAGGCAGUAGUGAGGAAUAUUGGUCAAUGGGCGCGAGCCUGAACCAGCCAAGUAGCGUGAAGGCUGACUGCCCUACGGGUUGUAAACUUCUUUUAUAAAGGAAUAAAGUGAGGCACGUGUGCCUUUUUGUAUGUACUUUAUGAAUAAGGAUCGGCUAACUCCGUGCCAGCAGCCGCGGUAAUACGGAGGAUCAGAUCGUUAUCCGGAUUUAUUGGGUUUAAAGGGAGCGUAGAUGGGUUGUUAAGUCAGUUGUGAAAGUUUGCGGCUCAACCGUAAAAUUGCAAUUGAUACUGGCAGCCGUGAGUACAGUUGAGGUAGGCGGAAUUCGUGGGGUAGCGGUGAAAUGCUUAGAUAUCACGAAGAACUCCGAUUGCGAAGGCAGCUUACUAAACUGCCACUGACAUUGAUGCUCGAAAGUGUGGGUAUCAAACAGGAGUAGAUACCACAGUAGUC
rnacentral:rRNA from 1 species